GGAGAGUACUGCUCAGUGGCAGAGCACAUGCCUCGCAUACAUGAGGUCCUGGGUUCAAUCCCCAGUACCUCCA
rnacentral:tRNA from 1 species